AUGCAAAUCCAAUCCAUGACGUAAAGUAAUGUGAUCCUCCACUACAAACAAUAUGGCGGCGCCCGGUGGUGCUAAACUUCUAUCAGGAGCAGGAUUGGGGGGUUUUCUCCAGAAGGGGUGUGGCUCACCCUGGGGUGUCCAAUCCCAGCAGCACCGACAGUUCUUCUGGAGGAAGUGGAAGAUCUCUCGCAGUGUAGUCAGACCGGCUGUCGUCAGACCAGCCUACUCAGUGCCCAAGCAUAUCCUGAGGCCUGACUAUGUGAACAGUGGUCAGGUCCCAGACUGGCCAGACUACAUAGAGAUCAAAGACCAGGAGCAGAUCCAGGGCCUGACCAGAGCCUGCCAGCUAGCCAGACAGAUACUGCUGCUGGCCGGACGCAGUCUCAAGAUUGGCAUGAUGACAGACGAGAUAGAUUUUAUUGUCCACCAGGAGACGAUUCGUCACAACGCGUACCCCUCUCCCCUGAGAUAUGGGGGGUUCCCCAAAUCAGUCUGCACCUCUGUCAAUAAUGUGGUCUGCCAUGGCAUACCUGACACCCGACAACUGCAAGAUGGCGACAUUAUCAACGUUGAUGUGACUGUCUAUCUGGAGGGUUACCAUGGUGACACUUCAGAGACGUUCCUGAUUGGCUGUGUGGACGAGGUGGGGCGAAAGCUAGUGAAGACAGCCAGGAAGUGUAGAGAUGAGGCCAUUGCUGCCUGUAAACCUGGGGCUCCACUGUGUGUUAUAGGUAACACUAUCAGUGAAAUAGCCCAUUCCAAUGGUUUCCAUGUGUGUCCCUACUUCAUUGGGCAUGGCAUAGGCUCCUACUUCCAUUGCCAUCCUGAGAUCUGGCACCAUGCUAAUGCCAAUGAUAUGACCAUGGAUGAAGGGAUGGCCUUCACUAUAGAGCCCAUAUUGAUGGAAGGAUCGUCAGAGUUCAGAAUCCUGAAGGACAAGUGGACAGCAGUGUCUGCAGACGACAAGAGGUCAGCCCAGUUUGAACACACAGUAGUCAUCACCUCUGACGGUGUGGAUAUUCUCACCAAACUACCCAAGGAGGAUGAGCCAUCGCCAAUAGGAGUCUAAUCACUCUUUUCAGAUCAGCUGUUCACACCCCAGUCACAUCAACAUCUAUGAAGAGGAAAUCAAAUGAAUUCUGAUCUGGGGAGCACAUUCUUCUCUGAUUGACGGCAUCAUAAGAUUAUCUUGUGUUAACGUUGUUAGGACUGCAAGGUUUGCAGAGUAUCAUACGUCCGCUGGACUGAUUAUGUCAUGAUGUUAUUGAUGCUGCGUUGUUUGGCUGCAUGUGUGACGUAUUCAGCCCUACUAAUAGUCUCUGAUCACAUCAACCUCCAGCUCUACAUUGUUAGUAACUUAUUUAGUUUUUCCUCUAGACCAAUUAGAUUCCGUGCUUUAGGUAUUUCCACUAAUUCUAUUGAAGCGAUGCCUUUUAAGUUCCUUAGGCCACAUUCUUGUCAUAUGUACAAUAUGGCACAUUUAUUACACAAUAUUCAAUAUCAAUGUUAUUCUCAAACAUACAGGUAUUUGUUGAAAUAAACUGGUCAUAAACUGUU